rnacentral:rRNA from 1 species
GAUGAACGCUGGCGGCGUGCCUAAUACAUGCAAGUCGAGCGAACAGAUAAGGAGCUUGCUCCUUUGACGUUAGCGGCGGACGGGUGAGUAACACGUGGGUAACCUACCUAUAAGACUGGAAUAACUCCGGGAAACCGGGGCUAAUGCCGGAUAACAUUUAGAACCGCAUGGUUCUAAAGUGAAAGAUGGUUUUGCUAUCACUUAUAGAUGGACCCGCGCCGUAUUAGCUAGUUGGUAAGGUAACGGCUUACCAAGGCAACGAUACGUAGCCGACCUGAGAGGGUGAUCGGCCACACUGGAACUGAGACCCGGUCCAGACUCCUACGGGAGGCAGCAGUAGGGAAUCUUCCGCAAUGGGCGAAAGCCUGACGGAGCAACGCCGCGUGAGUGAUGAAGGUCUUCGGAUCGUAAAACUCUGUUAUUAGGGAAGAACAAAUGUGUAAGUAACUGUGCACGUCUUGACGGUACCUAAUCAGAAAGCCACGGCUAACUACGUG